GUCCACGCCGUAAACGAUGGAUGCUAGCCGUUGGUAAGCAUGCUUAUCAGUGGCGCAGCUAACGCAUUAAGCGUCCCGCCUGGGGAGUACGGCCGCAAGGUUGAAACUCAAAGGAAUUGACGGGGCCCGCACAAGCGGUGGAGCAUGUGGUUUAAUUCGACGCAACGCGCAGAACCUUACCAGGGUUUGACAUCCGCGCUAAACCCAGAGAUGGGUGGUCCCGCAAGGGCGCGAGACAGGUGCUGCAUGGCUGUCGU
rnacentral:rRNA from 1 species